rnacentral:rRNA from 1 species
CCCUUAGAUGUUCUGGGCCGCACGCGUGCUUCACUGAACGGUUCAAUGGGUAAGGUAGUGCGAAAGCAUGACCUAAUCUCGAAAUCCGUUCGUGCUGGGGAUAGAAGCUUGCAAUUAUCCUUCUUGAACGAGGAAUACCUUGUAAGCGUGAGUCAUCAUCUCACGCUGAAUACGUCCCUGCCCUUUGUACACACCGCCCGUCGCUCCUACCGAUUGAGUGUUCCGGUGAGGCUUUGGGAGAAUGGCCUCAACAUGAGUUUAUCGUGUUUUGCCGUUUGAACUUAGUCAAACCUUAUCACUUAGAGGAAGGAGAAGUCGUAACA